CAAAGGCACCCAUGAAUCUAAAUACUCAGAGUAGAGAGUUCGACAAAGGCAAAGAAAAUAUGGGAAAAUAUUGUUUUCUACAAAUUUUCAUGGUCGCCUUGAUUUUCACAGGUUCGUCCAAUAUUCCAAUAUAUUUGUAACUCUUUUUUCUAAUAUUGUUGUUUAUAUAUAUGCUAUGUUCAAGCUUUGAUUUGCUGCAGCAACGGUGAUUCCUGUAGCAAACGCAGAAGAAAAGCAAUGCGUAGAGGGAUUGUAUCCGACGGGAUGUAAGUUGGAGGAUUGCCAGAAAAAGUGUUAUGACAAACAUCAAUACAGGGGAGCUAAAUGCAUCGCCAAUCAUUCUAAGACUGCCUAUGCUUGCAUCUGUGUUUUCCCCUGUUGAUCUCAUGAUCCUCAUUCCUUUAUCACAUCUCUCACAUUCAUUGUAUUCAAGCAUGAACGAUUGAAUGACUACUAAUGGAAAUGAGAAAAUAAAUUUACGACCAAUGUGAAAUUAGCUCUCAUCCAAUCGAACUUUUAGUUACAUAAAUAUAGUUUAGUGACGACGUCACUCAAAGCUUUCGUC
rnacentral:lncRNA from 1 species